UUUCUGUCUCUUAUAAGGACACUCUCCUUGGGUUUAGGGCCCACCCUAAUCCAGUCUGAUCUCAUCUUACUUGAUGACAUCUGCAAAGACCCUACUUCCAAAUAAGGUCAUAUGCACACUUUCCGGAAUUAGGACGUGGACAUAUCUCUUUGGGGGACAAUGUUCAACCACAACAUCAUCCACACCACAAACGGCAUCUGGUCAUCAAGGAUGACCCAGGAGCACAAAGUGGCUGAGGGCCCGCCCAGAGUCCACACGCGGGGUGCUGGGAGGGUCCCGGUUUGUGAGCCCAUGCCCUCCUCUGUGGACUGAGGCAGCCCUGAAGGCCUUCUGUCUCAUCCCACCAUCGGCGCCGAGCCAGCCCACAGCCUGCGGUUCUCCCCCAACCAGGAGGGUGGGCUGGACACACAAGGGGGUCCCUGGCUGCCCCUUCCUGGGCCUGAGCUGGAGGGAAGAAGAACCAAGUCCUGAGGAGCUUCGAGGGGAAGCCCAUCAGUGACACCCCCACAACCUUCAGCCUGCGAGCAACCAGCCCUCGGCCUGCAUGCAGCAGGCAGGAGAGCCUGGUGGGCAGGGCAGGGCAGGUCACGGGGGCAUGCCUGACUGUGGGGGGCGGGGGACAAACCCCUCAAGGGCUGAACUCCUCACCUGCAGGACACACACAAGCGUCCAGGAGUAAAUUGCAGAUACAGCACAGAGCCCACGGUAGGGCGGGGCCGACAAGGAUCCGGGAGGAGGUGGGAAUCCUUGACCAGGCCAGCGAGGCAGGAGGAGGCCCGGGGCUAGAGGCAGGGGUCUCUGAGAGCUGCCGUGGCUAUGGGGACCGCUGCCCCCAACAGUCCUGCCAGGCCAUCGGGGCCCUCCCACGCAGAGCCGCUGGUCGCAGCGGGCCCCACUGGUUCUCUUGGGUAGGCCUGAUGGUCGCCCUGUGUGGGGGAUUUUAAACAUGAGCCUAUGGCCCCGGAAGGCCAGGCACAGGGUCUGACCCCCAGACCUGUUGGGCCGGAGCCCUGUCCCUCUACAGCCCCCACCCCCAUGGAAAAGGCCCCUUGUGCGUCUUUCUAUCAGGGGAACAUGACUCUGGAAGCUGACGCAUCCCGUAGAGUUGCCCCUGGAGCCAGGGUCCCCAGUGGAAACUAUUCCUGGGAUGAGGCCCGAGGCUCAGACUUGUGGAUGGGGCCGCAAGAGCCAAGAACGGGUCUGCGCAGUGUCUUAGCCCAGAGAACCUGCUGCCAGAAGGAAGAACGGCAUCGGACGCAGAAGCUGCCGUGAUGGAUGUCCCCUGACAGGAGCAGGGCCCUGGCCGUGGGCCCUCAGUCCGGGGCUUCUCUUGGGGAGAAGCUGUCUCAGAAUUCAGCAAGCAGCAGGCAGGUGGAACAGAACAACCCACUGGGGAAACCACCCAGACCCACGGCCCUGCGUGUCCCAGAGCGGCAGGCAGGGAGACAGGCACUUCUGUCCCAUAGAGACCCAGGCUCCAGGUGGGCACAGGUGUGGCAAAUCCGUGAGCCCCAGACCCCGGCCCGGGAGGCCAUGUCACCACCCUGCUCACUGGAGAUCAGAAAUGUGCAGCCGGCUUUCGGGGCCCUCGGGGGGAGAAGGGCUGCCCCUCACCCCAGCUGGAGACUGAGCCACCCCUCUGCCACCAGGCGGAAGUCCAGGCUGACGGUCGGAGGAAGGACCCAGCACUUCCAGACACACCUGCCUUGUCUCUCGUCCCUUGGGUCCCUGCUCCAGCUCCCCCUCUGCCUCUCCCAGGGGUGCCUGGGGCUCCUGGUGCUGAGACCUACUCCCUAGGCACCCAGAGGCCUGCGCCAGACGCUCCUCCCGCCGCCUCUCAGCCCAGGGACCUCUGCCCUCCCAGGAGGCCUCGACCAUGAGUCACUGUCUCCUCUCUGGGGUCGGGCAGAAGCAGCCUUACUUGUUCAAGACUCCAGAAGCCACACCCUCGAGAAGUGGGGCAUCAACCAAAAGGCGGCCUGGAGUGGGAUGUACUUAAAGUAAGGAUGGAGACGAGGUCAUCCUGGAUCAGGGUGGGCCCUAAAUCCAAUGACAGAAAAGGAGAAGCCCCAGAUGUACAGGGAGAAGGCCAUGUGAAGACCGAGGCAGAGAUGGGGGUGAGGCGUCCGUAAGCCCAGGAACACCGAGGGCCACCACCACCACCAGGACACGGGGAGACCCGGGGUGGAUCCUCCCCUAGAGCCUUCAGAGGGAGCCAAGGCUGCCGACAGCUCGACUUCGGGCUUCUGGCCUCCACAACUGCAAGAAUGAAUGUCUGCAGCUUAACGCACCCAGUUUGCAGUGAUUUGUUAUGCCCGGGGGAUGGAUACACCCAGGAUGCUCAGAGUUAGGGACA